CACUCGUAAGCCAUUUGCCUGGGUAAGCCGUGAGGGAAGGACCUAACAUAACUGCCUGUUGUGUGGUGAUUACAUUUAUAGUAUUUUUAUAUUAAGUUAUUUAAAUAUAAGCUUAUGUCGAUACUGUCAAAGAUGGAAGAUGUGUUGUGGUCCUCCCGUCGAGCACCACACGAAGGCGUUCUUGUACCUGCUCAUGGCGUCGACGAACUCUUCCUUGAUGUGGGUCGCCAACAGCAUCCUGCUUGAUGUGGUGCUCACUGUCGCUUCUUCAAGCUGAAACCAUUCAAUGACACGCCAGAUUGAGGGAUGGUAGUGACCGACGAGGUUGAACAACUUAUUCCACCCUUCACAGAUGUUUAUCAACUUGAUGUGAACUACCAGACAACAGAGAGCAUCAGUGACCCUUGUACUGCUGUCACAAUCACCGCUCAGCGUCCUGAAGAGAAUGUGAUGCUGGGAGACCCAACAAGAACCUUCUUGCAUGCUACAGUAGGGUCUUCAGUGGUACUGUCCUUGAAUUUAAAAUGUAAGUACUGUAUAGUAUAGUACUGUACCUUCAUUAAACAAAUUGUUCUUGCAAAAAAAGAAAUGAAAAGGUAAUGAAUGCAAAUUGAGUACAGUACAGUACAUACUUAAGGAUAUACAGUACAGUAUUCUAACUGCUUUGAUAGAUGUGCUAUUUUAUGGUAUUCCCCUUCCUGGAUAUUAUAUCAUAAAAAUGAAGUGUUUAGCUUAUGUUAUGUUUAAUUAUAUAUCUUUAAUACUGUAUAAGAAUCCUAGAAUUUAAUUUUAAGUAAUUUAAGUUAUAAUUUCACCACUUAUCAGCUUGCAGUAAUAUCUCCGUUAGCCGGAAUCCCUCAAACCCGGAACUCUCCGAUAGCCGGAAUUGAAAUUUUCUUGGAAAAUCAUUACCAAAAUCAGAAUUUUCCAGAAAAUUCUGGCAUUGGGAAAGAUUUUUCGAUGGGCACAUUUUCUGGAAAAUUCCAAGAAAAUUUUCCCGGUACUGUAUUCCGAAAAUUCCUGGAAAGGGGAAUUUUUUUCCGAGUUUGAGAGAUGAUGUAAUGCUCAAUUUCUUGAACUCCCAAGAAUAUUUUUAUGUUACUCGGAAAAUUCCAGGGAUGAGGAAUUUGUUUCCGGCUUUGAGAGUCAUCUCAUUACCCGGAAAUCUCUCAUUCCCGUAAGUGUUCUGCACCAAUUGUUCCGGCUAAUGAAGAUAUCACUUUACUAGUCAUUCAGGCAGUUGGUCUGUUCUUUGUUAGUACUGUACUCUGUUAUGAAUUUGUCCAGCAUUAGUACUGGAGAAUACCUGCCAUGUUUGGUAGUGUCACAAUGGAUAACACCCUUCCCACAUAGGUCCGAGGUCAGGACUCAAACCUAGGACACAGUGGGUAAGAGAUAUGUGUGUAAUCACUGUAGGUAAAUUGAGUUUUGUUCAGGGGAUGAAAUAGUAGUCUGAAGCCUUUGAUUGAAAUGACUUAACCUCAGGAGUAAAAUGACAUGGUCCCUUGAAUUAAGACAUUUAUUUAAUGAAGGAGUUAAAUCAUCAUACUCAAGGGGGUUAAGUCAUCAUAUUGAAGGUGUAAAAUCAUCAUACUCUAGAUGUAAAGUCAUCAUACCCAAGGGAUUAAAUCAUUGGGUUAGGUUAUUCAUUGAUCAGAUCGAUAAGGGGAAAGGGGUGAAAAGAUAACAUGUCUUAACUAAUUUAUUGCUUAUAAAACAUACUGCAUUCCGGUAAAAUACAAAUGAGUUGGCCUUCUUUAGAAGAACAACGAUGAUUUUGAUUACCCUUCUUACAAUAUCACUCAACACGUCGGACGGCUCCACCUGUAUUUAAUAUAGCACCUUAGGUCAUCAUACAUAGUAAUGUAGGGUUAUGAGAUGUUGGUUCACACCCAGGAUGGGAUGGAGAAAGGAGAC